GAACCUCACGUAUAUUAGAUUAAAAUAAUUCUGUUUCUGAUAUUCUAUCAUUUUUUGAUCAACAAAAAUGGCAAUCUCAUAUGGUUUAAUCUAAGAGUAGGAUGGUCUCAUUUUUAUUAGUUCUCUUCCAUUCACAGACUGAAAGCUAGAGAAGAAGUUGCUAUGGUAACUCUAAGAACCAAACAGAAUCACAGAAUGAGAAUGGGAGAAGCCUAGUCCAGACUUAUCAAUUUGCAAAUGAAGACUUAAGGCUCAGAGAGGUGAAACAAAGCUGGGUGCUUCUACAGUGUGUUGCCACCUACCAAGCCCUUGACAGCUUCUUCAACCAAUUUCAAAUGUUAAAUUUUAAACUUCGUAAGAACAGGGACUAGUCUGAGUUACUCAUUGUACUCUCAGCAGCUAGCAUAAGAUGUAGGCGCAGAAGCAACCUUUAAUGAUGAAAAUGGUUGAGAUGCACCGAUAGUCCAUGGAGUGAAUCUCUGAGACUUUCCUCGCUUGUCUGAGUUUCCCUGCACACUUCAGCUAUUCUCCACUCUCUGCAGACCUCUCCAUUUUCCUGUAUCUUCCCAGAUGGGGAAGAGAAUAGAAAACCAGCAAAAGGUGAUUUGUUAGUUCAUAAGGCCACAGUCAACAUUUCUGGAUGGCUGGG